rnacentral:rRNA from 1 species
AGUGAACGCUGGCGGUAGGCCUAACACAUGCAAGUCGAACGGCAGCACAGUAAGAGCUUGCUCUUACGGGUGGCGAGUGGCGGACGGGUGAGGAAUACAUCGGAAUCUACUUUUUCGUGGGGGAUAACGUAGGGAAACUUACGCUAAUACCGCAUAUGACCUACGGGUGAAAGCAGUGGAGCUUCGGACCUUGCGCGAUUGAAUGAGCCGAUGUCGGAUUAGCUAGUUGGCGGGGUAAAGGCCCACCAAGGCGACGAUCCGUAGCUGGUCUGAGAGGAUGAUCAGCCACACUGGAACUGAGACACGGUCCAGACUCCUACGGGAGGCAGCAGUAGGGAAUAUUGGGCAAUGGGCGAAAGCCUGAUCCAGCCAUACCGCGUGGGUGAAGAAGGCCUUCGGGUUGUAAAGCCCUUUUGUUGGGAAAGAAAAGCAGCAGGUUAAUACCCCGCUGUUCUGACGGUACCCAAAGAAUAAGCACCGGCUAACUUCGUG